rnacentral:miRNA from 1 species
AAAACCCGAGCGAACUUUUUGU